rnacentral:rRNA from 1 species
UUCCGUAGGUGAACCUGCGGAAGGAUCAUUACCGUUACAACCGAUCGCCUUCGGGCGUGAGGAAAACCCUUUGUCUACAUGUACCUCCUGUUGUUUCCUCGGUAGGCUUGCCUGCCGCUAGGAACCCAUCCAACCCUUGUAUCUAAAGUAUCACAAAACUCUGAUAACUACCUAAUCUUAUCACAACUUUCAACAAUGGAUCUCUUGGUUCUGGCAUCGAUGAAGAACGCAGCGAAAUGCGAAAAGUAGUGUGAAUUGCAGAAUUCCGUGAAUCAUCGAAUCUUUGAACGCACAUUGCGCCCCUUGGUAUUCCGGGGGGCAUGCCUGUUCGAGCGUCAUUUUCACCCUCAAGCUCUGCUUGGUGUUGGGCGUCUGUCCCGUCUCUGUGCGUGGACUCGUCCCAAAGUCAUUGGCAGCGGUCGUGCCGGCUUCUCGUGCAGCACAUUGCGCUUCUUGAAGCUCCGGUGGACCAGCGUCCAGCAAGCCUUUUUUUAUAACUUGACCU